rnacentral:rRNA from 1 species
GAUGAACGCUGGCGGCGUGCCUAAUACAUGCAAGUCGAGCGAACGGACGAGAAGCUUGCUUCUCUGAUGUUAACGGCGGACGGGUGAGUAACACGUGGAUAACCUACCUAUAAGACUGGGAUAACUUCGGGAAACCGGAGCUAAUACCGGAUAAUAUUUUGAACCGCAUGGUUCAAAAGUGAAAGACGGUCUUGCUGUCACUUAUAGAUGGAUCCGCGCUGCAUUAGCUAGUUGGUAAGGUAACGGCUUACCAAGGCAACGAUGCAUAGCCGACCUGAGAGGGUGAUCGGCCACACUGGAACUGAGACACGGUCCAGACUUCUACGGGAGGCAGCAGUAGGGAAUCUUCCGCAAUGGGCGAAAGCCUGACGGAGCAACGCCGCGUGAGUGAUGAAGGUCUUCGGAUCGUAAAACUCUGUUAUUAGGGAAGAACAUAUGUGUAAGUAACUGUGCACAUCUUGACGGUACCUAAUCAGAAAGCCACGGCUAACUACGUG